rnacentral:lncRNA from 1 species
CACAUACAUCCACACUUCCCUCACACACACAUUACAUACUACAUACACUCCUACACACACUCCCCUCACACACACUCCCCUCACACACACCCACACAGACCCACACACCCACACUCCCCUCACAUACAUCCACACUCCCCUCACACACACGCAUUACACACUCCCUUCACGUACAUCCACACUCCCCUCACACACACCACACACACACAUUACAUACACUCCCCCCACACACACUCCCCUCACAUACACAGACCCACACACCCACACUCCCCUCACAUACAUCCACACUCCCCUCACACACACCACACACACAUUACAUACACUCCCCCCACACACA